rnacentral:tRNA from 1 species
GGAUUGUGGCUCAGCGGUAGAGGGCUCCCCUAGCACGGGAGGGACCUGGGUUCAAUCCUCAGCACCA